UUGCACGCUGGCGGCAUGCUUUACCCCUGCAAGUCGAACGGCAGCACGGGCUUCGGCCUGGUGGCGAGUGGCGAACGGGUGAGUAAUAUAUCGGAACGUACCCAGAAGUGGGGGAUAACGUAGCGAAAGUUACGCUAAUACCGCAUACGAUCUAUGGAUGAAAGCAGGGGACCGCAAGGCCUUGUGCUCCUGGAGCGGCCGAUAUCUGAUUAGCUAGUUGGUGAGGUAAAGGCUCACCAAGGCGACGAUCAGUAGCUGGUCUGAGAGGACGACCAGCCACACUGGAACUGAGACACGGUCCAGACUCCUACGGGAGGCAGCAGUGGGGAAUUUUGGACAAUGGGCGCAAGCCUGAUCCAGCAAUGCCGCGUGAGUGAAGAAGGCCUUCGGGUUGUAAAGCUCUUUUGUCAGGGAAGAAACGGUAGAGGCUAAUAUCCUUUGCUAAUGACGGUACCUGAAGAAUAAGCACCGGCUAACUACGUG
rnacentral:rRNA from 1 species